CGGAGCGAGGGGGCAGGGAGAGGCGGGGCUACGGCGACGUGCUGGCGUGGGGAUAGGCCACCGAGCGCACGCCCCGCCCUGUGCGAAGGGGUCUGGGAAGUCGGGUUUUCUGCGAGCAAUAGUCGCAGCCCUCUAUCCGCUCCUUACGGGUGGCCUCAGCCUUCCUCGUUCUGCUAUAGGGUCUUGCAGUGGCUUCCGGACCUUUGAAAGAAUUAAAGCAGCAGGAACUGAGGCUGCGGAUACCUGAGGGACCUUUGUCUGAGGGGCAGGCUCUUACCCUGCAGGAGUCUUAGGGCCUCUAGCCUGCUCUUAACCCUUUCUUUUUACUGCUUUUAUCCCUUCUCCCGACUGUCCUUAGUCUGUAUCUCUGGCCUUAUUAAAAGGAAGUACAACAAGAUGAGGUAUACAAACGGGUGUUGGAUAACCAGAUGAGAAAGCUGAGGUCAGAAAAAUAAACUGAAAAGCCUGAUCUAGAAGAGAAGUGCAAGUAUCUGACGUCCAGAAACACUGAGUGUUCCACCAGUGUCCCAGACAUUCUUCUGCCUGGCCCAGCCACAGUUGCAGUUAGGUUGGGCCCUGGGGCUUGUUCUGGCCAAUGACCCAUGAACGCAAGUGGUGUGCAUCUCUUCUGGACAAGGCAAUUAGGAGCCAUUGUGUCUUCUCUAGCCCUCCCUUCCCCUCAGUGGAGGUGAAGCAUUCCGGAUGGCAGAGGUAUAAGCUGCAGGAGGGCUGUCGGACCCACACUGGCCUGUGAGGUAACCAAAAAGAAAACAUUUUGUGAUAAGCCGCUGAGAUUUUGGUAUAUUUUUAUUAAAAUUUAAUUGCAUAUCUGUGCUACCUGAGUCAAUAUUUUUGGAAAUUAAAACUCAAUUCCUAAUGUCUCUGAAACAAUAGUGUGUAUGUGUGUGUGUAUCUGUCUCUGUCUUUCUGUCUGAUCUGGGAUGUCUCCAUAUUGCGCAUGAAUUACAAUCCGAAAAACUUUGUAAUUGUUUACAUGUUUGAAGGUCCCAUGAAGCAUAAGUGAAUUGUAUUAAAGUAUUUUAGUACCUCAGCACUCCUAUUCUCAGAGCCAGCAAGAACCUUAAAUAUUCAAUAUUGACUUAGAGUAUGUUGGCUUUUCAUUUACUCCUAGUUCUGUACUUUUAGGUAUAGGUACAGCUUCUUGUUUGGCCCCCUUCCAAAUUUCCUUAGGCUUUCUCAGAAAUAGUUAUGUAAAAUUCUGCUUGGAGAUUUGUUUUCUUAAGGUUUUUCAAGGUAAAUUUAACAGUCCUUCUCUGUUGUUACGAAUGUGAGCUUAAUUUAGCAGCUUUCUAUUUAGCAGCCACUCCAAAAGUUCCUAAUGACAAUUUUCUGUCAUCCAACAUGGACAAACACCAGGCCAUGCUCUGCUGUUACAGUGCCUUUCCUUCUCUUCAUUACUCAGAUAUUCUCUCACACAGGCUUAUUUCAACCAGAACUUCAGUCAUACUUUGAUGGCUGUCACAUAGCUGUUUUAUUAGUUUUCUAAGAUCACCCUCACAAAGUGCCACAAACUGAUUGGCUUAAAAAAUAGAAAUUUAUUGUCUCCUAGCCUGAAAGCUCAAAAGCGCAAGAUUAAAGUGUCAGAAGGGCCAAGUCCUCUCUGAAUGCGCCAGAGAAGGAUCUGUUCCAGACCUCUCUCCUAGCUUCCGGCAGUUUCUUGGCUUGUGGCAGCUUAACUGCUGUUUUUACAUGACUUUCGCCCCACAUACCUUUCCAUAUCCAGAUUUUCCCAUUUUUCUAAGGACAACAGUCAUAUCGGAGUAGAGGUCUGCCCAAGUCUAAUAUGAUUUCAUCUUAACUAAUUACAUCAGCAACAACCUUAUGUCCAGAGUGGCUUGAAAAGUGAAGAGACCUGCCUCAUUUCAUUCAUGGAGUAACAGACAGAUCGACCAUGGAGUUUGAGUAGAAUGGGGAGAAGAAGAAAGCUGUCCUUACAUGUACCUACUUGAAUUCGUCCUGGUGGAAGGGCAGUAUUCAGUAAAAGUUGCUUUUCACCUGAUGAUGCUUGUGAUUAUUUUAGUUAACCCUGUGACUGAAUAAACCCACACCACCCUUCACAAUGGGGUCAGUGUACAGUUUCAGGGAAACAGAGAAAUCAUUCCAGCAAUUAUGAAUAAAAAGGGAUUCAAUACAGGUAAUUAUGAACUUGCAAAAUCAUUGGAGAGCAGGAGGAGCAGCCUCUAAACUGAGUCUCCAGAAAUAAUUGCCAGGAGAUAACCAUCAAAUGAUAUCCCACAGAGCUGCCGCCUGUGCCAGUCAUAAAUGUGUGAAAUCAAGAGUCUGUUGGGGAAACACUGAAUUCCUGCACACACUGCUAUAGUCGCAAUCUGGAGAUUGUUAAGACACUGUCGUCUGUGUAGCCACUAACUCCUAACACCCUUGAAGCUGGAUACUGGCCAUUGGGAUGCUAUUGCACAAAAACCCAAUGGCUGCAUGACCCUGCUUGGUUGCAGCAAUGAACAUCAGAGCAGGCUGCUGGCCCUGGUCUCAUACCUGCCUCUCUCAUCUCUUGAGUAUAUUUAGUGCACAGUCAGAGCAUUAGUGGGGAAGGAGUCAUAGAAAUGUAAGUUGGAGCUUUUCAAUCUUUGCAAUACAAGAAGGUACCAUAGAAGGUGGUUGGAAUGGAUGUUAAAAGCUAAUGUUUCAUGUUCACCACAGUGAUUCCAUGCAUAGGAAAUGAUGUGUAUGCCAGUGGCCGCAGCCUCUGUCUAGAGGACCAAAUACUGGAUUCACUUGGGUUUUUCGAAAAUCAACUUUUGUGGUACACUUUACAUAUAGUGAAAUGCACCUACUUUAAGUGUAUAUUCAGUGAGUUUAACAAAUACAAUGCAAAUGUAAUCAAUGCCAUCAUCAAGAUGUAAAAAUCAUUCCAAAAAUUUUUCAUGUCUCUGCAGCCAACCCCUACUUUCCCUUCCCCAAGCAACUAGUGAUCUGCUUUCUAUCUCUAUAGACUAGUUUUCCCCCAUUCUAGAGUUUCGUAUAAAUAAAACCAUACAGUAGGAUACAGCUGUUUUUAAUAUUUGCAAAUAGUUUUUUCCUUGCCAAGAAUCCAUCAUGGCAUAGCAGAAUAAGUGGGAUUUUUGAAUUUAGACAAACUCAGGGUUGAAUCCCAACUCUCCUACCUAACGUCUCUCAACCUCGUUCAAAAAAGUUGAACUUGCUGAGCCCAGAUUUCUUAACUGUAAAACAGUAAUUUAGAACAAAAAUAAAAAAAAAGCACCUGAAGGUUAGAGCUAAUAAAUGAAAAGCACACAAAUAGCACACCAGGAAAGGUAAUUACCAUUAUUCUUCUUGAUGAUGGCUUAUUAUUUUCUGCGUAUGCUGGUUUUCCAGUCAAUUGCACUUAAACCAUAGUGCUUUUCUGAAGAAUUUUAUCACUUUCCCAUGCGACACCAUAACAGCAAUUAGAAGCUAUUCUUUGGAGCAUCACGUUGCUUCACAUCUGAGUUCUACUACUUGCUAUGUAUCCUCAUGAAAAUUCUGAAUCUUGCUGUGCCUCAGAUUUCUUUUCUGUAAAAUGGGAAUAGUAAUAAUACCUAGAAUUGUUAUAGGAAUUAAAUAAUACACAUCACCUUAGUAAAUACUCAAAAUGGUUAGCUAUUGUUAAUAUCAUUGCUAUUUCAUGUUGAAAUUUCCCCGAGAUGCCUCAGAGUGGAUUCUGUCUCUAUAGCCUCACUCUAGCUCCACCCCCACCCACUCCCAAGAGAAGUAACACUCUCUUUUCUGGCAAUUAAAAUUUCCUAUUUUAGCCUCCAGGAACCUCUCCCUCCUACGAAAUACAUGUGUGCCUUCUCAUUUGGUACAUAUUUCAGGCUCUGUAUUAUCUUUGAAGUAUAGAAUGCUUGGAAUAGAGAAAAUGGUUCACUCAAACCCUCUCAUUUUACAGCUGGUGUAAUAGAGGUCCAAUAAAGAUGAAUUAUUUAUCAGGGUCUUAUCUUUAGAACAUAAACUGGGCGAGAACUUGGGCUCCAAACUCUCAGUCCUGUGUCUACAACAUGAUUUAAAGUGCUUAGCACAUAAUACUCAGUAGUCUACUGGUUUUAUUGUUUGAAUUCUUAUAUGUCAUGCUAAGUUGAUUUCUAGAGCCAACUCCAAGGACUUUUCUUGUCACAAUGCCUAAGCUCUCGUCACUCCCUGAGAUUAAAGAAAUGAUUCUCAGCCUUGUCAAAUUAUAAUCACAAAGUUUAUCAGGAAAAUUAUCUGAAAAUUGCCAUGAAUAUUACAUAGUGUGUGAUGGAUAUGCUGCUUUGAAGGAUAUGCUGCAUAGAUUUUAUGUGGCAGAUAUAAAUCCUGCUGAUGUUGUGAUGCCAGUUCUUUAGUGACUAGGCAGCAAUGUAUUAAGUCUUGCUCUAUAGCUGCAAACAAAAUGCUUUUUACCACCAGUUCAGUCUUGGGGUAAAUAUUUUAAAAGACAUUGCAAUGCUUUCUACAGCCCAGUGAGAUAAAAGCUCUUAUACUAAACCCACACAAGGCAAACACAAUUGGAUAAAAAGUAAAAUACAGCAAACCACUGCUGUAUUUGUGUGCAAAAUAACAGUUAUAUGGCUUCCCUCAGGCUGAAGAGCUAAAACUGUCACCUCCAGCAGUGUGAUUCUGCUUCCAUGCCACCAGGGAUCUAGGUGGGAAGGAAUUUCAAUAUGCAUAUCCUGGGAAGGAGGCAGAAGAGAGGAAGAGUGGGAGAGUUAGGAACGAUGCCUCCUUUUAUGAGAAAGUUGAAUAUCUCUUUGGUAUUUCUCUCACAAUUUUUAAAAUGCUUUGUACUGGGUGUUCCCAAGAUCACUCCCAGUGAUUUGACAAAAGAUCUCUUAGAACUCAAUGUCUUAUAUGUACUCAUAGCUAAGAUUUAGUACCAUGAAAAGAUACAAAGCAAAGUCAGAAAAGGGAAAAGAUGUGUGGGGAGAAAUUGGGAGAAAAGUCUUCUCCUGACCCAGUGGAUCCCUUCCUUCAGCAAUGAGUUGUGAGCAAGGUAUUGUCUCCUGUGGCAGCUCAUUAGUGACUUGUUGCUCAAGGUUUUUACAGGAGGCUGGUCAAAUAGGCACUCUCUUCCCAUCACAUACCCAAAUUCCAAAUCCCAGAAGAAAAGCAGAUGUCAGCAUAAAGCAUACCAUGCACACAGUCUAGCUCUAGUGAGCCACCCUUGUCAUUUAGGGAAAGUUUUCUACCAGUGCAGGGAAGUUUACUAGCUAAGUUCCCAGAUGACAGCCAAGGGCCAAUCUUGCAAGCAGACAUUUCUAAGGAAAGUAGUCCCAGGCUUAGGCUUGCUAUACUAAUUCUUUUUUGCACACACUAUUUUCUUCAUUCAGGCAUGCAGACAACUCUUGUAGUCCCAUUUGAAAUAAGUCAUCUGUAGCAGAGUUUACAUGGUCCAUCUAAAGUCAUAUCUUAUAUAUCUUGGUUUGUUUGUUGUUUGUUUUUGCUUUUUUAGGGCCACACUUGUGACAUAUGGAAAUUCCCAGGCUAGGGGUCAGAUCAGAUCUGUAGCUGCUGGCCUGCACCAUAGCCACAGCAAUGCUGGAUCCAAGCCACGUCUGAGACAUAUACCACAGCUCAUAGCAAUGCUGGAUCCUUAACCCACUGAGCGAGGCCAGGGAUUGGACCUGCAUUCUCAUGGAUACUAGUCAGGUUCGUUAUGCUGAGCCACAAGGAGAACUCAAGUAAUAUUUUGUUAGUUGACUGGGAUGGCUUGACUGGGGGCCAUAGGUCUGAGGACUCAGUUCUGGCUGGUAUUUGGAUUCUCAUUUCUUCUACACAUUGUCUUUAUGGGGUCAUCGAGAUGCUUUCUUUUUUUUUUGGUCCUUUUUUGUCUUUUUAGGGCAUACAGAAUUUGCUAGGCUAGGGGUCCAAUCGGAGCUGUAGCCAUGGGCCUAUGCCACAGUCACAGGAACACGGGAUCCGAGCUGUCUCUGCAGCUCACAGCAACGCUGGAUCCUCAACCCUCUGAGCAAGACCAGGGAUCGAACCUACAUCCUCAUGGAUGCUUGUCAGGUUCAUUAACUGCUGAGCCAAGAUGGGAACUCCAAGAUGCUUUUUUACUUAUGUAUUUGAUUCCUGAGCUUGGAUGGCUAGUAUUCUGUCUAUGCAGGUUCACUUGAUCCAUAUCUUGGGCUUCCUUAUAAUGUGAUGGUUCCAGAUGCUUGGGCUCUUCCAUAAUGGCUGACUUCUCUCAGAGAAAGUGUUCUAACUAAAGAGCAGGGCAGAAUCUUAGAACAUCAUUUCUAUUACACUUGUUAUUUAAGCAAGUUAUUAGGGCCAACCCAUAUUUAAGGAGAAGGGAAUUAUAUCCAAUAGCAGGAUAACAAAGACAUUACAACCAUCUUUAAUGAAUAUUUGCAGUCAGUAAUUUAUCUGAAUAUCUUUUAUCCAUUUUUAUUAUAGUUAUCUGUUUUAUUACUCCCACCAGACUGAAAAUUCUUAAGGGUAGGGACCCAGUCUGCAUUAGUUUCCAAUUUGUUGCAAUGUUAUAGAGCACUUUGCUUAUAGCACACAUUGUUUGUAAAUAAAUGCUAUUAAAGGCUUACUGCAUGCCAAGAACUAUACUAAGCUUUUAAAAUUUAUUAUAUUGUGUAAUCCUUACAAGAACUUUGUAAGGCAUUAUUUUUAUUUCCAUAUUUUAACUGGUUAAGAUGUCUGCCUAAGGGCAUAUAGCUAGUAUCAGGAUUUGAACGCAGACUGUCUCUAGAAUGUUUGCUAAAUCAUCAUGCUCUGGUGCUUUCAUCAAGUAGUGAAUUUUGCAUGAGGAGGAAAUCUCCAAAGAAUCCAAAUUAUGGUUGGUGUGCAAAAAG